ACAAAUAAACGUGCUUGUUCUUGUUCUGAGAAUAAACGUCUCUCUCUGGUCUCUCUGCUCUCAUCUCUGGUUUUGAAACAGCGUGUACCGCCAUUUUGUAUUAUGGUUAACGUUUAGCCGCUUCUUUGAACCAAAGCUUUGAACCUCCGUGUAAUUUUGCGCUGCAAUUCGCUAUUUUAAUUUGAAGACGGUUUUCAUUUAUUUAUUAUCUAAUUAUUGUGUUUUAUGGUGUGCGAAUGUUUUUGUAAACAGUAUAUUAUAAAAGCAAUCAAUAAGUGUUUACCAGUUUAAACGAGUAAUUGCUUUCUUCGUAUACUUCGAUUUAUUUUGAUAAUAUAAUGGGUUAUAAGUGCUUUGUUCCCGGAUGCAGUAUUCGAGGCCGAGAUAUUAAAUAUUAUAGUGUGCCCUUUACAAACAUAAAAAGAUAGAACAUCUCAUUGGCAACCAAAGGGCAAAGUGGGAAUAUAUUGAGAGACUUUAUAAAGUGGAUGGUUUUGGUGGCAGAGCAAGAAGCACCAAACUUACUGAGUAGCACAUAAUUCCAACUUCAUAUGACAAAAUGAAGGUCAAAUUUGCAGCCCAAGUUUUUAGCAGGCAAGUGGCUACAUCACUAGAAGUCCAGGUGAAGUAUCUGCUAUCUCUCCAGGAUCUUCAAUGUAAUGAAGAUGUUUUUUAAAGUGUAUUAGCCACAUUUUUGUGGUUUUAAAUUAGCUAUUAUGCAUACUGUGUAUAGUAUAAAAUCAUAGUAGUCUUCAAAAUAAUCUUUAUUUUUGUGAUUAUUAAGCAGUUGUUAAAAUCUUUUUUUCAUAGUUAUGCUUGUACACCCUAAAAUGAACCUACCAGAUAAUUGUCUAGUAAAUAAAUUAAUGACCUACAAAAAGUAGUAUUUUGUGUAUGUUUCCAAAAUUAUUCAUAUUUUUAUUGAUUUACAAUGUGCAGAAGUAGUAAUUUUACUUUUUAAUUUAAUAUUUUAUUUUCACUAUAAUGUAUCCAACAUUUUCUGUAUUUUGUAGCAUUUUUACUUGCAAACAUGCCAUUAUAUAAUAUUGCAAAAUAAUAAAUUAUACAUGGAAUGCUUUUCAUGAGAGAAUAAUCAUAUUUAAGUAAAUUUAAGCAAAUUGUUAUAUUUUGUGGUUUUACAUUAUACCUACUGUAUAAUGCCACACCAUUCCUUACAUUGUGUAAAAUCAUAGUGAUAAUCUUCACAAUUAUCAUUAUUUUGCUAUCUGUUAAGCAAGCAGUUGUUAAAAUCUUAUUUGCAUAAUUAUGCUUGUACACCCUAAACUAAAAGUUUGUAUGUUUCCAAAAUUGUUCAUAUUCCUGUUCAUAUACUAUGUACAAAAAUAGUAAUUUUACCUUUUAUUUAAAAUCAUGUUUUCAAUAUAUGUAAAAUAUCUAACAUUUUUGUCUUUUGUCGCAUUUUUUUUAUAAAUGUGCCACUAGUCUAUUGUUCACUGGAAGCGAUAAAGCCCAUUGUAUUUUCAUUAUUUUUAAUUUUAUGUAAAUUGUUACUGAAUUUAUAUGCAAUCCAAUUUUGUGGUUUGUAUGUUGUUGUUGAUUUAUAUGACAAAAUAUUAAUUAGUGGAAAGCAACCAAUAUUGUAUGUAUAAUAAUUUUGUUGCAUUUAUGUUUAUAAUACUGAAUUGUAACGAUGAAAAUUAAAAUUAUGUUUAUAAAUGUAGGCACACUGCACGCUGUGUACUAUUCAUGUAUUUGCUUAAUGCUAGUCCCAUGUUUUAAUCCGUGCACCAACUUAUAUAAGCUAUGUGACUACUUUGUAUACAAUAAUAAUAUAUUUAAUAUCAG